rnacentral:rRNA from 1 species
GGAAGGGGCAAGCGUUGUUCGGAAUCAUUGGGCGUAAAGGGCGCGUAGGUGGUUUUGUAUGUCUACCGUGAAAGGGUACAGCUCAACUGUAGCUCGUCGGUAGAAACUGCAGGACUUGAGGCUGGGAGGGGCUGGUGGAAUUCCCUGUGUAGCGGUGAAAUGCGUAGAGAUGGGGGAGAACACUCGUGGCGAAGGCGGCCAGCUAGACCAGUUCUGACACUGAGGCGCGACAGCGUGGGGAGCAAACAGGAUUAGAUACCCUGGUAGUCCACGCUGUAAACGAUGGGCACUAGGUGCCGGCGGUCUUGAUCCCGUCGGUGCCGGCGCUAACGCAGUAAGUGCCCCGCCUGGGGAGUACGGUCGCAAGGCUGAA